rnacentral:rRNA from 1 species
UACGAAGGGGGCUAGCGUUGUUCGGAAUUACUGGGCGUAAAGCGCACGUAGGCGGACUAUUAAGUCAGGGGUGAAAUCCCGGGGCUCAACCCCGGAACUGCCUUUGAUACUGGUAGUCUCGAGUCCGGAAGAGGUGAGUGGAAUUCCGAGUGUAGAGGUGAAAUUCGUAGAUAUUCGGAAGAACACCAGUGGCGAAGGCGGCUCACUGGUCCGGUACUGACGCUGAGGUGCGAAAGCGUGGGGAGCAAACGGG